GUGCUCACUUCAGCAGCAUAUAUACUAAAAUUGGAAUGAUACAGAAAAGAUUAGCAUGGCCCCUGCGCAAGGAUGACAUAAACAUUUGUGAAGCAUUCUGUAUUUUU
ensembl:snRNA U6 U6 spliceosomal RNA